ACCACUUCUCCUCAUCCCGUUCAUCUCUCUCUAGAGGCAGAGCGCACCCAUUUCAAAACCACAGUUCUCGUCGCCCGUCUGUUCUUCCAAAUCCUCCAACCCCCAAAUCAGGUUCUCGCACCAGUUGGGAUCCCGCGGGCGUAGCCGUGUUCGGUGAAUCCGUGGCCGAUUUUCCGCCGGAGUUGGAGCAACCACCAGUUCGGCGACCAGGGGCGUGCGACCACCAGUUGCGUGAGGCGUUUCCGGGAAGAGGAUAAGCGGAUGGUAGCCAGGUUGCGGUGCAACGAGGAGCAGGUCGGCGGGGGGAAGCAGUAGACGAGGCGCUUCAGGGGUGGAACAGCCGUCGCCAGCGCCGUGCCGUUGGUGCAGAGGGCAGAGUCAUGCUGAGGGCUACCAAUCCUUCCCUUCCGUAGUCCUUCAUCUGAAAACAGAUAGCCGAGACAAGUCAAAAGUCAAAACAGGAUGGACCUCCUGGAUCAAGUCAUGAUGACAUUGCAUCUCAUGGCAAUGAAGAGCAUCAAACAAAGCAAAUAAUUUGGUACAAGUGUGAGAGAACUAAAGCAAUUAUUGCACGGGGGCAACAUCCUGAUGAUAUUAUUACUAACGAGAAUAGUAACGAGAGCCAAGCUGCAGAUGCUGGAAAUGCAAAUGUGAAAGGUGCAGACGUUGACCAACCUCCAAAACUAAAACGCCAGAAGGCGGGAGGAACUGAGGACUUUCUUUGUCCUUUCUUUCUUGCAGGAUGAAAUUCCAACAUUUUUUUGGAUCGUGCUGAAGGAUAUCCUAUAAUCAAGGAUGGAUGGGGGCAAAAGUGGGGAAAAGAGGAGCAAAUCUUGAGCUGACCUGCUGUUUACUUUGAAUUCUCCUACAACUGGUUUGAUUUCUUGCUUAUCUUGUGUGAUUCCUGCUUUUUACUUUGAUCCUUGUAACAUCCCAAAAUUCUAAAU